rnacentral:tRNA from 1 species
UCCCGUGUAGCUCAGUUGGUAGAGCAUGGUGUUUGCAAUGCCAGGGUUGUGGGUUCCAUUCCCACGGGGGGAC